rnacentral:lncRNA from 13 species
ACCUCCGAGGGAAUAGCACUGAGCUCACAGCGAAGUAAAUGUAAAGUCUGAGCAGAGAGUUCAGUCACUUUGAUAGUAUUAACUAGGAAAAGUCAAUAUUUAAAAGCCAUCAUUGCGCCAGCAAGUCAAUUGCAGGGAAAUCGCCCUACAAUCCCUUCCAACGAGAGCGGGAGCCGGAGCAUUUCACCAGGUGCCCGUCUUCCCUGAGGGAGCUCUCCAGCGUGAAGAAGAAAAUGUCCUGUGAAACCCGUUUCUGAAAAACACUGCAACACAGGAAAUUGGCAUAUGUUUUCUCGUUAAAGAGAUUGGUCACCGACCACGUCACCAUGAGUUGCAGUGGGUACCUGGCUGGGAGAAACAAGUUUGUACCAGACUCGGCUCACGGGAAGGAGUCUGAGAAAGAGGGCAAAGGCAAAGCUCUUUAGAGAAAAAUUAUGAGAAAUUACUGCAGAGCAUCGUCAGCGUUCACUGAAUGGAGACACUUGUGCUCACUUGGCCUUUCACGGCAACAGACAGAGGCCCCUGCACUGCAGCUUGAUGCCAGAGGGCUUACACAUAAACCCUGCUUGACUUGGAAAUCAAAGAGAGAUUUUUGCAGAGAAAACCUGGUGCACCUAAUGCUGGAUUAUAGCAAAGAGGACAAGAAAGGCAUUGGUUUAUAAAAGCCCUCAGCAUUAUUGCACACCACUCAGGCAGCACAGGAGUUUCUGGAAGUGAAGGUG